UAAAAAAUGGCCGCCAUCGUGAGUUUCUUUACUUUUGCUAUUUUAUUUGUGGUUUCCAAGUUUUAUUCAUUUAUAUUUUGCUUGCUAUUACAAUUUCGCAGGCGUUAUCAUUUUUCAAGUUAUCGAUCUCAUUU